UGAUGAUUAACGAUGAGAAAUCUUACAUCAAUGUAAAGCAACUAAAGGAUGGAAAGCUUUGUUUAUCGAUCAACCCAGCUGAGGUUGAGCUCAUGGAUGAGAAAAAAGAUGAUGUAAAAUGAUGUCCGCUUGAAGAAACCGUUUCUAUCAAAUAUGGCUCAGAAUUAUGAGAAUAAUGAAGUUGUUCUCACGGUUUUUCUAUAUUUUUUUUAUAUCUAACAACGAUCCCAUAGGCUUAGCUUUUUGGUAAUCACUCGAAAUUGAGUGAGAACUCAAAAUCGUAAUCACGUUAUGAAUUGUUAUUCUCUAAAGAUAUUUUAUCCGUGCUGUAAUAUUAGAUUUAGCAUUUUAACAAGAUCAAACAGCGAGUGAAUAACUAGAUCAGUAGGUGUGAUUUAUUUAUCUUCCCUGUCUAUGGCCUUAGCAAAGUGUCUCAAAGAAAAAAAAAAGAAGAUCAACUGUCAACCAACAACAAACAAACACAACUGAGCAUGAGUUUGACAAACAUGAAGUUGCAAAGGAAGAACAAGUGUGGAUGUUUUACAAGUCCAAUGUGGACAGAAGUCACUUUAUUUUUUUUUUAUCUCGUAAUGCCAGUCCAUUACGGGAAAGUGCCGGUCCAUUACGGAAAAGUGCCGCUCCAUUACGGGAAAGUGCCAGUCCAUUACGGGAAAGUGCCGGUCCACUACGGAAAAGUGCCAGUCCAUUACGGGAAAGUGCCAGUCCAGUACGGGAAAGUGCCGGUCCACUACGGAAAAGUGCCAGUCCAUUACGGGAAAGUACCGGUUCCACUGAGCUAUAUAAUAA